AUGCAAGUCGAGCGAGAAAGUCUACUUCGGCAGAUGAGUAAAGCGGCGCACGGGUGAGUAACGCGUGGAUUAUCUACCUCCGGGAACGGGAUACCAGUGGGAAACCGCUGCUAAUACCGUAUACGCUGGUAACGGGAAAGGGUGCCUCUUCUAUGCAUCUGCCCGGAGAUGAGUCCGCGUCCCAUUAGCUAGUUGGCGGGGUAAUGGCCCACCAAGGCUACGAUGGGUAGCUGGUUUGAGAGGAUGAUCAGCCACACUGGGACUGAAACACGGCCCAGACUCCUACGGGAGGCAGCAGUGGGGAAUAUUGCGCAAUGGGGGAAACCCUGACGCAGCGACGCCGCGUGGAGGAAGAAGGCUUUCGGGUCGUAAACUCCUGUCAAGAGGGAAGAAGUGUAUGUAGGUUAAUAGCCUAUGUAUUUGACGGUACCUCUAGAGGAAGCACCGGCUAAUUCCGUGCCAGCAGCCGCGGUAAUACGGAAGGUGCAAGCGUUAAUCGGAAUCACUGGGCGUAAAGCGUCCGCAGGUGGCGAUUCAAGUCUGCUGUCAAAGCACGGGGCUUAACUCCGUUAAGGCAGUGGAAACUGAAUAGCUAGAGUGCCGUAGGGGUAGAGGGAAUUCCCGGUGUAGCGGUGAAAUGCGUAGAGAUCGGGAAGAACAUCGGUGGCGAAAGCGCUCUACUGGACGGCAACUGACACUCAGGGACGAAAGCUAGGGGAGCGAAUGGGAUUAGAUACCCCAGUAGUCCUAGCUGUAAACGAUGGAUACUAGGUGUAGCUUGUAUCGACCCGAGCUGUGCCGAAGCUAACGCGUUAAGUAUCCCGCCUGGGGAGUACGCACGCAAGUGUGAAACUCAAAGGAAUUGACGGGGGCCCGCACAAGCGGUGGAGUAUGUGGUUUAAUUCGAUGCAACGCGAAGAACCUUACCAGGGCUUGACAUGUCCGGAAUCCCGGUGAAAGCUGGGAGUGCCUUCGGGAGCCGGAACACAGGUGGUGCAUGGCUGUCGUCAGCUCGUGUCGUGAGAUGUUGGGUUAAGUCCCGCAACGAGCGCAACCCUCGUCUUUAGUUGCCAGCAUUAAGUUGGGCACUCUAGAGAGACUGCCGGUGACAAACCGGAGGAAGGUGGGGAUGACGUCAAGUCAGCAUGCCCCUUACGCUCUGGGCGACACACGUACUACAAUGGUCGGGACAGAGGGCAGCGAACCUGCGAAGGCAAGCUAAUCCCAGCAAACUCGGCCUCAGUUCAGAUCGCAGGCUGCAACUCGCCUGCGUGAAGGAGGAAUCGCUAGUAAUCGCCGGUCAGAAUACGGCGGUGAAUCCGUUCCCGGGCCUUGUACACACCGCCCGUCACACCAUGGAAGCUGGCCACGCCCGAAGUCGUUACCCUAACC
rnacentral:rRNA from 1 species